rnacentral:rRNA from 1 species
CCUACGGGAGGCAGCAGUGAGGAAUAUUGGUCAAUGAGCGCGAGCCUGAACCAGCCAAGCCGCGUGAGGGAAGACGGUCCUAUGGAUUGUAAACCUCUUUUGUCGGGGAGCAAAAGACGCCACGCGUGGCGUUCCGAGAGUACCCGAAGAAAAAGCAUCGGCUAACUCCGUGCCAGCAGCCGCGGUACUACGGAGGAUGCGAGCUUUAUCCGGAUUUAUUGGGUUUAAGGUGUGCGCAGGCGGAAGAUUAAGUCAGCGGUAAAAUUGAGGGGCUCAACCUCUUCGAGCCGUUGAAACUGGUUAUCUAGAGUGAGUGAGAGGUAUGCGGAAUGCGUGGUGUAGCGGUGAAAUGCAUAGAUAUCACGAAGAACACCGAUGGCGAAGGCAGCAUACCGGCGCUCAACUGACGCUGAUGCACGAAAGUGUGGGUAUCGAACAGGAUUAGAUACCCCAGUAGUC